AGAGUUUGAUCCUGGCUCAGGAUGAACGCUAGCGGCAGGCUUAAUACAUGCAAGUCGAGGGACAGCACAGGUAGCAAUACUGGGUGGUAACCGGCAAACGGGUGCGGAACACGUACACAACCUUCCUUUAAGUGGGGGAUAGCCCAGAGAAAUUUGGAUUAAUACCCCGUAAUAUAGUUUGAUGGCAUCAUUGGACUAUUAUAGCUACGGCGCUUAAUGAUGGGUGUGCGUCUGAUUAGAUAGUUGGCGAGGUAACGGCUCACCAAGUCUACGAUCAGUAGCUGAUGUGAGAGCAUGAUCAGCCACACGGGCACUGAGACACGGGCCCGACUCCUACGGGAGGCAGCAGUAAGGAAUAUUGGUCAAUGGACGCAAGUCUGAACCAGCCAUGCCGCGUGAAGGAUUAAGGUCCUCUGGAUUGUAAACUUCUUUUAUUUGGGACGAAAAAGGGCCUUUCUAGGCCAACUGACGGUACCAGAUGAAUAAGCACCGGAUAACUCCGUGCCAGCAGCCGCGGUAAUACGGAGGGUGCAAGCGUUAUCCGGAUUCACUGGGUUUAAAGGGUGCGUAGGCGGGUAGGUAAGUCAGUGGUGAAAUCCUGGAGCUCAACUCCAGAACUGCCAUUGAUACUAUUUAUCUUGAAUAUUGUGGAGGUAAGCGGAAUAUGUCAUGUAGCGGUGAAAUGCUUAGAUAUGACAUAGAACACCUAUUGCGAAGGCAGCUUACUACGCAUAUAUUGACGCUGAGGC
rnacentral:rRNA from 1 species